rnacentral:rRNA from 1 species
GUCUGAUGGAGCACGCCGCGUGAGUGAAGAAGGUUUUCGGAUCGUAAGCUCUGUUGUUGAUGAAGAACAUGCCUGAGAGUAACUGUUCAGGUAUUGACGGUAUUCAACCAGAAAGCCACGGCUAACUACGUGCCAGCAGCCGCGGUAAUACGUAGGUGGCAAGCGUUGUCCGGAUUUAUUGGGCGUAAAGCGAGCGUAGGCGGUUUAUUAAGUUUGAUGUGAAAGCCCUCGGCUUAACCGAGGAAGUGCAUCGAAAACUGGUAAACUUGAGUGCAGAAGAGGAGAGUGGAACUCCAUGUGUAGCGGUGAAAUC